CCUACGGGUGGCAGCAGUGGGGAAUAUUGGACAAUGGGCGAAAGCCUGAUCCAGCCAUGCCGCGUGUGUGAAGAAGGCCUUCGGGUUGUAAAGCACUUUCAGUGGGGAAGAAAGCCUUGGGGCUAAUACCCUCGAGGAAGGACAUCACCCACAGAAGAAGCACCGGCUAACUCCGUGCCAGCAGCCGCGGUAAUACGGAGGGUGCGAGCGUUAAUCGGAAUUACUGGGCGUAAAGCGCGCGUAGGCGGUCUGAUAAGCCGGUUGUGAAAGCCCCGGGCUCAACCUGGGAACGGCAUCCGGAACUGUCAGGCUAGAGUGCAGGAGAGGAAGGUAGAAUUCCCGGGGUAGCGGUGAAAUGCGUAGAGAUCGGGAGGAAUACCAGUGGCGAAGGCGGCCUUCUGGACUGACACUGACGCUGAGGUGCGAAAGCGUGGGUAGCAAACAGGAUUAGAUACCCGGGUAGUC
rnacentral:rRNA from 1 species